GGCAGGGGGAGCAAGAUGGAGUCACAGACCCACGUCCUCAUGUUGCUGCUGUUCUGGGUGUCUGGUACCAGUGGAGAUAUCAUGAUGACCCAGUCUCCAUCCUCCCUGGCUGUGUCAGCGGGAGAGAAGGUCACCAUCAGUUGCAAGUCCAGUCAGAGUCUUUUAAACACCGGAAACCAAAAGAACUACUUGUCCUGGUACCAGCAGAAACCAGGGCAAUCCCCUAACCUGCUGAUCUACUAUGCAUCCACCAAGCACACUGGGGUCCCAGAUCGCUUCUCAGGCAGUGGAUCUGGGACAGAUUUCACUCUUAUCAUCAGCAGUGUGCAGGCUGAAGACCUGGCAGUUUAUUACUGUCAGCAGGGUUACAGCUAUCCUCCCACAGUGCUUCAGCCUCCAAUAAAAACCUCCUUCAGAGUCUCUCCAGCUGUCUGCAGCACAAACACUGACCUGACCCUGCAUACUUCCCCCUUCUGCCUGAAAAAGCAAUAA